AAGACACUCUCAAAUGUUGUUG
rnacentral:siRNA from 1 species